CUCCAGCAGCCCAGCUCUCACAGGUGACCCGCUGCCUUUCGGAAGCAGCCAGCUCUAAGCAGACAGAUGGCCGACGGGCCCCUGGCCCAGCCCUCAAGCCCCGGGCACUAGGCAGGAUGUCGCAGCAGCAGCAGCAACAGGAAGCCCUCCGCCUGCCAAGGCCAUCAGAGGCCCAUCGUCGAGGGAGGAGUGCCAGCUCCAGCCACAUGGCUGCCCUGCCCUGCCUCCCGGGGCCUGGCGCUGCUCAGAGGCCAGGAAGACGAUCUGAAUGAGCUUUGCUCUUCUAGCAGCAGCUGUAGACCUGGAAUUUCCCAGCAGUGUGGGGCAAAACCCACAGCCCAGGGCUCCAACUCAGAGCCUCUGAGUCUCUACUCUGCAUGGUCUGGGAUGUGAGAGCCCUUCGAAGGAGGUCAUGGCCCAGUCCCUUUUCCUGUCUGUCAAAGAGAAUGCUGAGCUGAGGAGAGCUGGCAGUCACUUCACUCGCAGCUGCUCCAGUGGUUCGGUCAAUCGGAUGGCCCUCUCACCAGCACCCUUGCUUCCUUUGUACGCCACCAUUCCCUUCAUCGGUGCAACUUAACAUCACCCAGGGCCAACCCCAG